AGUUGUAAUCUCUAGAAGUGUUUUCCGCGUUGGACCGCACACAAGUCUGUUGGAAUACAGCGGCAUAGUGGUGAGACCCCCCGUAUAUGGUGCGGACGCCCAACGCUUUGUGAUACACUUUCGAAGAGUCGAGUUGUUUGGGAAUGCAGCUCAAAUUGGGUGGUAAAUUCCAUCUAAAGCUAAAUAUUGGCGAGAGACCGAUAGCGAACAAGUACCGUGAGGGAAAGAUGAAAAGCACUUUGGAAAGAGAGUUAACAGUACGUGAAAUUGUUGGAAGGGAAACGCUUGAAGUCAGACUUGCUUGCCGAGCAAUCGGUUUGCAGGCCAGCAUCAGUUUUCCGGGGUGGAUAAUGGUAGAGAGAAGGUAGCAGUUUCGGCUGUGUUAUAGCUCUUUGCUGGAUACACCUUGGGGGACUGAGGAACGCAGUGUGCCUUACGGCGGAUUUCUCGAGAUCUUCACACUUAGGAUGCUGGUGGAAUGGCUUUAAACGAC
rnacentral:rRNA from 1 species